rnacentral:rRNA from 1 species
UACGGAAGGCAGCAGUGGGGAAUAUUGCACAAUGGGCGCAAGCCUAAUGCAGCCAUGCCGCGUGUAUGAAGAAGGCCUUCGGGUUGUAAAGUACUUUCAGUCGUGAGGAAGGUGUUAAGGUUAAUAACCUUAGCAAUUGACGUUAGCGACAGAAGAAGCACCGGCUAACUCCGUGCCAGCAGCCGCGGUAAUACGGAGGGUGCGAGCGUUAAUCGGAAUUACUGGGCGUAAAGGGCACGCAGGCGGUUAAUUAAGUUGGAUGUGAAAUCCCCGGGCUUAACCUGGGAAUGGCAUUCAAGCUGGUUAGCUAGAGUCUUGUAGAGGGGGGUAGGAAUUCCAUGUGUAGCGGUGAAAUGCGUAGAGAUGUGGAGGAAUACCGGUGGCGAAGGCGGCCCCGUGGACAAAGACUGACGCUCAUGUGCGAAAGCGU